rnacentral:rRNA from 1 species
UACGUAGGGGGCAAGCGUUGUCCGGAUUUAUUGGGCGUAAAGAGCGUGUAGGCGGCUUUACAGGUCCGUUGUGAAAACUCGAGGCUCAACCUCGAGACGCCGGUGGAAACCGUAAAGCUAGAGUCCGGAAGAGGCGAGUGGAAUUCCUGGUGUAGCGGUGGAAUGCGCAGAUAUCAGGAGGAACACCGAUAGCGAAGGCAGCUCGCUGGGACGGUACUGACGCUAAGGCGCGAAAGCGUGGGGAGCAAACAGG